rnacentral:miRNA from 1 species
AACCGUGUGGCCUACUGGUAGC